CUCUUUCCCUUUUCCCUUUUCCCGCCUCCUUCCCUCGUUUCCCCCCCCUUCAUCCCGUGGACAUGGCACGGCCACCUUAAAGCGCCGCGCCGCCCCCUCCUCCCCCGAUCGCCGGGGCCGCUAUGAGUCAGGUGUGAAGCCCCCGCCGGGAGGAGGUCGUUCCCCUCGCUGGCUGCAGCCCUGACGCUGGGAUUUUCCUUUUUUUGGCUUUUUUUUUUUUUUUUUUUUUUUUCGGCCCCACCACCUCCCUCCUUCCCUCCCUCGCUCCCUCCCUCCAGGAAUCCAGCGCUGCACCGGAGCCAGAAGAGAGGGAGCAAAACCCAGCCCAGGCCGAGAGCCGCGUCCAGAAACCAAACCCGCCCUUCGCGUCGCAAAGGAGAAUUUUUUUUUUUUAAUCAUUAUUAUUAUUAUUUUUAUUUUUAAUUCCCCUGACCCGAGCACGGUGGCGGCAGCAGGGAGGCUGUCCCGGUUAUUUAUUCUCUCCCCGCAGAGCUGUCCCUCCGGCUCACCAUGAUGUUCCGAGACCAGGUUGGCGUGCUGGCCGGGUGGUUCAAGGGCUGGAACGAGUGCGAGCAGACUGUUGCGCUGCUCUCCCUGCUCAAACGCGUCAGCCGGACCCAGGCUCGCUUCCUCCAGCUCUGCCUCGAGCAUUCCCUGGCAGACUGCACCGAGCUCCACAUCCUCGAAGGGGAGGCCAACAACCCCGGAAUCAUUAACCAGUGGCAACAGGAAUCCAAGGACAAAGUGAUCUCCCUCCUGCUGACCCACCUGCCUUUGCUGAAGCCCGGCAACAUCGAGGCGAAAGUCGAGUACAUGAAACUCUUGCCCAAAAUCCUGGCGCACUCCAUCGAGCACAACCAGCACAUCGAGGAGAGCAGGCAGCUGCUGUCCUACGCCUUGAUCCACCCUGCCACCUCCCUGGAGGACAGGAGCGCCCUGGCCAUGUGGCUCAACCACCUGGAGGACCGCACGUCGUCUUCGUCGUCGUCGUCGUCGUCGGGGGGCUUUGGCGGGCAGGGCCGGGGCCGCUCGGACUCGCUGGACUACGGGCAGGCUCACUACUAUCACCAAAGACAGAACUCGGACGACAAACUCAACAACGGCUGGCAGAACUCCAGGGACUCCGGCAUCAGCGUCAGCGCCUCCAGCUGGCAGGACAAAAACCUGGCCUGUGAGAACGGCCACCUGCCCCUCUACUCCUCCUCCUCCGUCCCCACCACCAUCAACACCAUCGGCACUAGCACAAGCACCAUUCUCUCAGGCCAGACACACCACAGCCCUUUGAAACGCUCUGUGUCCCUUACCCCACCCAUGAAUGUGCCAAACCAACCUCUAGGACAUGGAUGGAUGUCUCAUGAGGACUUACGAGCUAGAGGACCCCAGUGCAUCCCUUCUGAUCAUGCCCCCCUGUCUCCACAAAGCAGUGUAGCCUCUUCGGGAAGUGGUGGGAGUGAACAUUUAGAAGAUCAGCCUUCUGCUCGUAACACAUUCCAGGAGGAAGGGAGUGGGAUGAAAGAUGUCCCGGCCUGGCUGAAGAGCCUCAGGCUGCACAAGUACGCCGCCCUCUUCUCCCAGAUGACCUACGAGGAGAUGAUGGCCCUCACCGAGUGCCAGCUCGAGGCACAAAACGUUACCAAAGGCGCAAGACACAAAAUUGUCAUCAGUAUCCAAAAGCUAAAAGAGAGACAAAACCUGCUCAAAUCUCUAGAAGGGGACAUCCUGGAGGGCGGCAACUUGCGCGUGCCGCUGCAGGAGCUGCACCAAAUGAUCCUCACCCCCAUCAAAGCCUACUCCUCGCAGAGCUCCAGCACGGAGGAGCACGGCCGGGAGCUGGACUCGCACCACGGGCACCCGCCCUCGCUGCUGGGCUCGGACAGGGACGGCCAGGGCUCGGAGUGCAAGGACCCGGCGGCCGCCGGCAUGCAGCAGCACCAUCUGCCGGGCUGCGAGGGCGAGUCGGGAGGGGCCCCUUUGCCCGAGGGCGACCUGCCCGGGCAGUUCACACGAGUGAUGGGCAAAGUCUGCACGCAACUUUUAGUUUCCCGACCCGAUGAAGAGAAUAUAAGUUCCUAUUUACAGCUCAUAGACAAAUGUCUAAUCCACGAGGCGUUUACAGAGAUUCAGAAGAAGAGGCUGCUGUCAUGGAAACAGCAGGUGCAGAAACUCUUUCGGUCUUUCCCUCGGAAAUCCCUCCUGGAGCUGUCGGGCUAUCGGCAGCAGAGGAGCCGAGGCUUUGGCCAGUCCAACUCGCUGCCGAGCGCCGGCUCCGCGGGGGCGGGUCUGGCCCGCAGGAACCCCCGGCAGUUCCAGAUCCCCUCCCGCAACCUCCCCACGGCCCGGCUGGGGCUGCUGGGCCCCUCGGGGCUGCUGGGCACCCCCCAGCGCAGCCCUGCUGCCAGCCCUGCCAUCCUCAAGCAGGGCAGACAGAACCUGUGGUUUGCCAACCCUGGGGGCAGUAACAGCAUGCCCAGCCGCAGCCACAGCUCGGUGCAGAGGACGCGCUCGCUGCCGGUCCACACGUCCCCGCAGACCAUGCUGAUGUUUCAGCAGCCAGAGUUCCAGGUGCCGGUGACUGAACCUGACAUCAACAACAGGCUGGAGUCCCUGUGCCUGAGCAUGACGGAGCACGCACUCAGCGGUGAGCAUUCCCUCCUCCUGGGGCUCUUCCAGCACGUCCACGCCUCCUCUGCUGAGCCCCCCAGCCCCUGCCCAGUGCCCCCCAAAAGCUGGGACAGGCUGUGGCUGUGACAGCAGCCGGGGCUGGACGCAGGGAUGCUCCCGGGGCUGCUCCCGUGGGAGCCGUGGCUUCUCUCGGCGCGGCGGCCGGGGCAGGGGGCGAAGCCGAACGCAGGGAUCGCACCAGCACCAGUGGAGUCUGUGCUAAUUAGCCACUCUUCAGCUUGCUAAUGAUAAUUAGUGUUAGCUCGCUACUCUCGUUAGCUCUCGAUGAAGCCCCUGCCGCCAGCGCGCUCGGAUGGGUCACGGCUUUGGAGCGUUGUGCCCUCCUGCCACCGGAUCCCUCCUCUGGCCAGGGUGAACCCCUGCCAGGCUGUGCCAGGGGCUGUGCCAGGGGCUGUGCCAGGGGCUGUGCCGGGGGCUGUGCCGGGCACCGUGCCCUGGUGCUGGCAGGCCUCACACAGCCGGGGGUGCCAGCGGAUAACGGGCACGGGGAGGGAGGAGGAGCGGGGCAAAACCAAGCAGGGAAGAUGGAGAGGCAGCAGCAGCAGCAGCAGCAGCAGCAGAGCAGUGGAGAGCCCGGUGCAGCACAGAGCCCCAGAAGCUCCCGGUGUCCAAUGGAGCCCCAGGCACAAGGGAUGGCCCCGGCGAUGGGACGAGCGCGGCCGCCCGGAGUCCCCAGGGAGCAGCUCGGGUCUGCUGCGGAAAUCCUGCCUGGACUGUGACCCGUGGCUGAGGACAGGAGCCCUCGCAGAGGACGAGUGCCACCAGGCUCCCUGCAGAUGCAGCAGCCCUUCCUGGGGAGAGGAGCGGGAGAACAAGGACUGUGGGAAGCAGCAGGGCCCUGGCAGCAUCCCUGGCUGGGAACACAAGGACACUUCUGUCACCCGAAGCGUUUCUGCGGCGCGUGCCCAGCCGAGGCUUAGCUGUCUUGUUCCUCUGCAGGAUGGUGUCGACAGAACCUCCACGAUCUAGAAGGCGUCGCCACGGGGACGCUGGGCGGGACAACAACUGCUGCGGGUCCAGCGGCGAGGUCGGGGCUUGAGGGAGCCUCAGCGAUAGCUUGCAUCCUUUCUCCUCUCUCCUCUCCUUUCUCCUCUCUCUAUCUCUCUCCUGUUUUAAUUUUGUGAAUGUGUAGAUUGUCCUUGUGAACAUAUCAUUAGACUUGGAAUUUGUGUUGUCAUUUAUUACAUCCAUGCUAAGGGUGGGGGGGGGGGAAACGAUGGCAAAAAAAAAUUUAAAAAUCUCAGCGGCAGCGAUGAAGCAGCACGGGGAGGUUGGGCUGGACAUGGAGGAGGAGGAGAGUGCUGACAGUGGAGCGCUCACCGUGGGCAAACCCUGCUCCUGGACAGGAUGCCAAGGAGCACGGAGCCCCACGUGGGGGUGUGUGACCAAAAACCCUUUGGGGAGGGUCCCUGUCCUGUCCUGCCAGGGCUUUGGGGCCGGCUGUCCCUUCUCUCGAGGUUCGCCGCUUUCGGGUGCGGGCUGACCCGGCCAGCCCAGAUUGGAACAGAAUUAAUCAAAUGACCCCAAAAUUUCCUUUCAGUUCAGCCAAGAGAUCUGCAGAGUGGAGGCAGCGUUGUGCUCAGGGCAGUGGAGGGUCAGGGGGUGCCUCUCCCUGCGCCCCAGUUGGAUUGGGAUGGGGAUGGAGAGGGGACAUCUUGCCCAGAGGAGGGUCCUGGGGCAGUCUGUGAAUUUGGGAACACUGGCAGAGGUUCCUGCAUCUGGCUCCACACAUCUGGCCCAGCCUGCCCAAAUCCAGCUGUAAGGGGCUUUUCCAGCAUGGCCGAUAAGAGAUGAAGAGCCCCCAUAUAAAAGCCAAGUCACAAAGGGCACCAAAAUGCAGCUUCACUGCCUUGUUUUCUUGGCAUUACCCGUGGGGCUGGCAGGGGCUGGGCUGCCCCUCACCCACUGCUGCUUUUUAUAACAAAAGCUAAAUUUGGUGUUAAAUUGGUAAAUCUGACCCAGCACUGCUCUGACCUGCAGUGAUGCUCCCCCCAGUCCCAGUGCUGCUCCGAGUCCUCCAAUGGAAUAAUAACAAAUAUAAAAUCAAUUAAUUGAGCUGAUGGGCGGCAGCAAUAUUUCCAAAAUGGGCUGUGAGGAGGACAUGGGCAGCAUUGUGUGCCAGGAUCAGAGGGAGCAGGGCUCAGGGGGAGCCAGAGCAUGGGCAGGGCUGGGAGACGUGUGAACCCUUUUGUCAUGCAGCGUUUUUAAGUUGUUUUUCUAAAAAAAAAAAAAAAGAAAUAUAUCUAUCUAUAUAUAUUAUAUAUAUAUAUGUAUACAAAAACCCAAGUGCCAAAUGCAAUGUUUUAUGUUUGCUGUUCCUUGGUGUCCUGCUUCCCGGCAGACAGGAGGUUGAGGGGGGUGAUGGGGAGGGUGGAGAAGGGAAAACCCGAAGGCCAGGGAGGUUGGGAAGGGGAGUGAGGAGGUGAAGGCGAAGCAGGGUGGGCGCUGGGGACCUGGGUCACCCCCGAGCACCCCCGGCUCGUGAGGUGUGAGCAGAGCCACCGUGGCAGGAGCCUCCCUCAGGGAGACUCCAGUGUAUUUACAGAGCUGAAAUUCUAUUUAUUCCUUCGCUGACUAUGGACACGGAGGUUUUCUGAUUGUUCAGAGAGAUUAUUUUGGAUAUUUUACCUAUUAACUUGCUGUGGCUGGGAACCAUGAUAAUGUCUGUUAUUAACAACCACCAAAUAAUUCAAUUGUUUUAUCCUUUUGAUGUUAAAAAAAAAAAAAGAAAAAAUGCUUAUUUUCCAUUGACAGUC